AAUAAGCACAGCAAUAAAUUUCCGUGUUUUACUCGUCUUAUUUGAAAUUUUUUUAUGAAGAGUAUUUUUGUUGUUAUUAAAUUGUACAGUAUGAAUAGUACUUUAUGUGUGACUUAUGGUUUUUACUUUUUUAAAAAAAAACUAAAACGGACGAUUAAAAUUGGACACGAAAAUUUAUAACUACAUUUAUU
rnacentral:pre_miRNA from 1 species